GACGGAGGAUGCAAGUGUUAUCCGGAAUCACUGGGCGUAAAGCGUCUGUAGGUGGUUCAAUAAGUCAACUGUUAAAUCUUGAGGCUCAACUUCAAAAUCGCAGUCGAAACUAUUUGGACUCGAGUAUAGUAGGGGUAAAGGGAAUUUCCAGUGGAGCGGUGAAAUGCGUAGAGAUUGGAAAGAACACCAAUGGCGAAGGCACUCUGCUGGGCCGACACUGACACUGAGAGACGAAAGCUAGGGGGAGCGAAUGGG
rnacentral:rRNA from 1 species